UACAGUGUCUCAUGAACUUCAUUUCUCUUGUCACAUCAAGAUGGGGUCAUGCCAUUUGAGGAUGUUUCCCUUGCUUCCUCAGUGGAAAAAAAAGAAAACAAACAGUGAUACUUGUAAAUGAACAUAGAAGCCAUUCUAAUGCUCCAUUUUGUAGUAUACUCGAUGAUCCAGAAUUCUUCAGGAGACCACAAUGAUGAUGAUUAAUCAUCUCUACUAGGUGAUCUCCACCACAGACUGAAACAGGAGGAAAAAGUGCAGUGGAGUGAAAGGUCUGUCUUUGAUGAUAUAUCUAUGCUUUGUACCAAUCCAUGGAAAUGCAAGAAUGCUUUGGCUGAGUCUGCACUAAACAUAUAGUUGGAAUGCUGCAACAGGAUCUAUACCAUUCCAUAAACAAGGAAGCCUGACACUAAGCUCCGAAAGGCCCACCACAUUGAGUGCCACUCAGGCACUUAACGGGUCAGUGACAUCCCCCAGGAUCGAAGACCUUGGAGGCAGAACUUGCCCUUGCUGCCAGCCAAUCAGAAGCUACACACUCUAUUGAAUGUCAGUCCACUGAGCAGGCAAUGGCUGCUGCCAGUACCACACCCACCCAAGACCCGGUAUCAUCACUGAAUCUCAGGAUGCACGUCAGACAAGAUUUACAAAAACUCUCAGGUUAAGAGUUUUGUCAUCAUUGGCUCAGCACAUUCAGGGAUUAGAGGUAUGCUGGAAAUUAAAUGGAAUCCACAUCAAACACAAGCUUGAGUCAUGGUCUGGGCUGUUGUAAAAUGUCUUUCUAACAUCGCAAAGAGCAUGCAUCAAGGAUGCACAGGUAAAAGGAGCAAAAGAAAAGACAAAAAUGAAACUGGAGCUGGAAGUACAUUUUUAAAAUGGCAUCACAAAUAGGACCUAUGGCAAUUUAUGAUGGCAGUUUGGCAAAAAUAUUUGGAAGAUUAGACAGAGCAGUAGAAGGUUGAUCUUAGUGAUGUUUAUUAUCAUCAGAUUUCAUAACCAUGGAAAUAGAGAGGCUGCCAGGAAACAGCCAUCAGCU